UACGAAGGGGGCUAGCGUUGUUCGGAUUUACUGGGCGUAAAGAGCUCGUAGGUGGUUUGUCGCGUUGUUCGUGAAAACUCACAGCUUAACUGUGGGCGUGCGGGCGAUACGGGCAGACUUGAGUACUGCAGGGGAGACUGGAAUUCCUGGUGUAGCGGUGGAAUGCGCAGAUAUCAGGAGGAACACCGGUGGCGAAGGCGGGUCUCUGGGCCAUUACUGACGCUGAGGAGCGAAAGCGUGGGGAGCGAACAGG
rnacentral:rRNA from 1 species